GAUCCUUUCGAUUUUCGAUUUGAAGAUAGAAUGUGAUUCAACUCAUUCUAAAAUUUAAAAAAAAAUCUAAAUUUGUACCUGUUUAUGUGCUUCAAAGAAUUCUUUUUCUUGGAGAAAGCUGCUAAAAGAAGCAAGAAACGUUAUCCAAAAAAAAACUACUGCUAGAAAAAGCUUACCAAGAAGUUUAAAAUGAGAGAUCAGUUACCGGAACCCACUUUUGAUGAGGAAUCUUACUAUGAAUAAAAAGAGCUUAAUUAAAAAAGAUUAAUAAAAUUAUUUUUUUUAUUAUAUUUUUGUAUAAGUAAAAAAUAAAGUAUUUUUUCAUAUCA